rnacentral:rRNA from 1 species
UACAGAGGUCCCAAGCGUUGCUCGGAAUGACUGGGCGUAAAGGGCGCGUAGGCGGCUUGCACCGUCAGAUGUGAAAUUCCUGGGCUUAACCUGGGGGCUGCAUUUGAUACGUGUGGGCUUGAGUGCGGAAGAGGGUCGUGGAAUUCCCAGUGUAGAGGUGAAAUUCGUAGAUAUUGGGAAGAACACCGGUGGCGAAGGCGGCGACCUGGUCCGUGACUGACGCUGAGGCGCGAAAGCGCGGGGAGCAAACAGG